CCGACCUUAGCUCAAAUGGAAGAGUAAAGGAUUGCGUAUCCUUUGGUUGCCGGUUUGAAUCCGGCAGGUCAUG
rnacentral:tRNA from 1 species